CUGAUUGACGGCGGACGGGUGAGUAAUGCCUAGGAAUCUGCCUGGUAGUGGGGGACAACGUUUCCAAAGGAACGCUAAUACCGCAUACGUCCUACGGGAGAAAGUGGGGGAUCUUCGGACCUCACGCUAUCAGAUGAGCCUAGGUCGGAUUACCUAGUUGGUGAGGUAAAGGCUCACCAAGGCGACGAUCCGUAACUGGUCUGAGAGGAUGAUCAGUCACACUGGAACUGAGACACGGUCCAGACUCCUACGGGAGGCAGCAGUGGGGAAUAUUGGACAAUGGCCGAAAGCCUGAUCCAGCCAUGCCGCGUGUGUGAACAAGGUCUUCGGAUUGUAAAGCACUUUAAGUUGGGAGGAAGGGCAGUAAGUUAAUACCUUGCUGUUUUGACGUUACCAACAAAAUAACCACCGGCUAACUUCGUGCCAACAUCCGCGGUAAUACGAAGGGUGCAAGCGUUAAUCGGAAUUACUGGGCGUAAAGCGCGCGUAAGUGGUUCGUUAAGUUGGAUGUGAAAGCCCCGGGCUCAACCUGGGAACUGCAUCCAAAACUGGCGAGCUAGAGUAUGGCAGAGGGUGGUGGAAUUUCCUGUGUAGCGGUGAAAUGCGUAGAUAUAUGAAGGAACACCAGUGGCGAAGGCGACCACCUGGGCUAAUACUGACACUGAGGUG
rnacentral:rRNA from 2 species